rnacentral:rRNA from 1 species
AUCAUCGUGCUAAUUGCAAAAACGCAUGGGGCCACCAAUCUCCAAGAGUUCAGACCAAUCUCUUUACUGCAUAGUGUGAUCAAGAUCUUCACAAAGCUUCUCGCGUGGCAUCGGGCGCCUAAAUUGCAAGGGAUAAUUGAUCAUUGCCAAAGUGCUUUCUUAAAGAAACGAAGCAUACAGGAGAACUUUCUUUAUGUC